AAAUUUCAGCUAAGUUGCCUCACAAUGAUACCUCUGAGGAGAGAAAGGAAUCUUUGCUCAACAAUCUCAAGUUUCGAGAAACAAUUGAUCAUCAUGCAAGAGUCCCAGACCCAGUUCCUGCGAUGUCUUCAAACGUGGCAGAAGCUUCUCCGACAGGUUCUAGACAAAAUAUCUUUCUCAGUAUUAUCCAGGGCAUCAUCAGCAUUUUUCCUGAGCAGUUGCAUUUCACUUACAAACCUGGCCUCCCAGGUUUUGUGAGAGGAGGGAACUUCUUUGAAUUGCCAAAAGAGCUGUGGUUUGAGACUGUCAAGAUUGUUACAUUGGCUUACAAUGCAGUCAAGAUGUAAGUGGAAAACCAAUCUUUUCACAUCAUUGCUUACUGAAACAGCAGACUGCAGGUAUGCUCUUAUAGAUCUACAACAAAGACAUUCUAACGAAAUACAACAUUUUGAGUGAGUAUAUGCUUUAAUAAUUCUGAAAAUGGGAUGGGCCGGUAAGAGUUUUUUGGCAUUCAUUCCUUUUUACAGGGUGCAAUUUUCAAUCACUAUGGUAACAGGAUAUAUCGUUUGAAAGCGUGAACUCACGUUAAAAC